ACGCUCAAGCCUCCCCUCAAGGCAAUGCGGAUUGAUCUUUCGCCUUUUACUAAAGAUCACCGUGGGGAGGGGCUUCUUAUGAGCUUUAACAGCCAAUUUUUGGAUGGCCCUUGCCGUUUGGCCG
rnacentral:snRNA from 1 species